rnacentral:rRNA from 1 species
AACAUCGUGAUAGCUGGUUCUCUCCGAAAUAUAUUGAGGUAUAGCGUCGUGUAGUAGUUAUAAGGGGUAGAGCACUGAAUGGGCUAGGGCAUACACCAAUGUACCAAACCCUAUCAAACUCCGAAUACUUAUAGCGUAACCACGGCAGUCAGGCGGCGAGUGAUAAAAUCCGUCGUCAAGAGGGAAACAACCCGGACUAACAGCUAAGGUCCCCAAAUCUCAUUUAAGUGGAAAACGAUGUGAAGUUACUGAAACAACCAGGAGGUUGGCUUAGAAGCAGCCAUCCUUUAAAGAAAGCGUAAUAGCUCACUGGUCUAGUGAUUUUGCGCGGAAAAUAUAACGGGGCUAAAAUGAGUACCGAAGCUUUAGACUUGCACUUAAUCAUUUAUACUUGGCUUGGCUUUUGAGCGUCUUUAAAUGAGCUCGUAAAAAUAAAUGCUCACGAACUAUAUGUUCGCUCCGCUUUAUUUUUACGUCGCAACAUUUAAAUCCAUCUCAAAAAUCCUACGCCAUCUUGAGUUCAAAUUUGAACUAAAUGUCUUAAUCUAAAAUUUUAUAAAUUUUAAAUUUCUUAGAAUUUUAAAAUUUAGCAACAAAAGCAAAAUAAAAUAAAGGCGAAGUAUUUUUGUCUUUAGGCGAGGCGAAUUUUAGUGAAGCAAGGGAGUUAUCGUUUGGAUAAUGACCGAAGCUGAGCGAAAAUUCAACGAAGCAUAAAGCAAAAAGACAAGCCCAAGAAAAGUAUAAAUAAUUAAGUGCAAGUGGUAGGAGAGCGUUCCAAUCAGCGUCGAAGCCGUACCGGUAAGGAGCGGUGGAGCGGUUGGAAGUGAGCAUGCAGGCAUGAGUAGCGAUAAAAUACGUGAGAAUCGUAUUCGCCGUAAACCCAAGGUUUCCUACGCGAUGCUCGUCAUCGUAGGGUUAGUCGGGUCCUAAGCAAAGUCCGAAAGGGGUAUGCGAUGGAAAAUCGGUUAAUAUUCCGAUACCGAUAUCAGUGUGCGACGGAAGGACGCUUAAAGUUAGUGGAGCUAGCGGAUGGAAGUGCUAGUCUAAGGAAGUAGGUUGAGUUAUAGGCAAAUCCGUAACUCUUUAUCCGAGAUCUGAAAGGCUUCUGAUGCUCUUCGGAGUAGAUGAAGAAUCCAUGAUACUAUCGAGCCGAGAAAAGUUUCUAAGUUUAGCUGAUAUCGCCCGUACCGUAAACCGACACAGGUGGGUGGGAUGAGUAUUCUAAGGCGCGUGGAAGAACUCUCUUUAAGGAACUCUGCAAAAUAGCACCGUAUCUUCGGUAUAAGGUGUGCCUAGCUUCGUUAAGAAUUUACUUCGUAAGCGAAGAAGGUUACAACAAAGAGUCCCUCCCGACUGUUUACCAUAAACACAGCACUCUGCUAACUCGUAAGAGGAUGUAUAGGGUGUGACGCCUGCCCGGUGCUCGAAGGUUAAUUGAUGACGUUAGCUCUGCGAAGCGUUUGAUCGAAGCCCGAGUAAACGGCGGCCGUAACUAUAACGGUCCUAAGGUAGCGAAAUUCCUUGUCGAUUAAAUAUCGACCUGCAUGAAUGGCGUAACGAGAUGGGAGCUGUCUCGAAGAGGGAUCCAGUGAAAUUGUAGUGGAGGUGAAAAUUCCUCCUACCCGCGGCAAGACGGAAAGACCCCGUGGACCUUUACUAUAGCUUGACACUGCUACUUGGAUAAAGAUGCGCAGGAUAGGUGGGAGGCUUCGAUUCGUAGAUCUCGGUUUACGAUGAGCCAUUGUUGAGAUACCACUCUUCUUUAUUCGGGUAGCUAACUAGCCUAAGUUAUCCUUAGGUAGGACAAUGUCUGGUGGGUAGUUUGACUGGGGCGGUCGCCUCCCAAAAUGUAACGGAGGCUUACAAAGGUUGGCUCAAAGCGGUUGGAAAUCGCUUGUAGAGUAUAAAGGCAAAAGCCAGCUUAACUGCGAGACAUACACGUCGAGCAGAGACGAAAGUCGGGCUUAGUGAUCCGGUGGUUCUGUGUGGAAGGGCCAUCGCUCAAAGG